GAUGAACGCUGGCGGCGUGCCUAAUACAUGCAAGUCGAGCGAACAGACGAGGAGCUUGCUCCUCUGACGUUAGCGGCGGACGGGUGAGUAACACGUGGAUAACCUACCUAUAAGACUGGGAUAACUUCGGGAAACCGGAGCUAAUACCGGAUAAUAUAUUGAACCGCAUGGUUCAAUAGUGAAAGACGGUUUUGCUGUCACUUAUAGAUGGAUCCGCGCCGCAUUAGCUAGUUGGUAAGGUGACGGCUUACCAAGGCGACGAUGCGUAGCCGACCUGAGAGGGUGAUCGGCCACACUGGAACUGAGACACGGUCCAGACUCCUACGGGAGGCAGCAGUAGGGAAUCUUCCGCAAUGGGCGAAAGCCUGACGGAGCAACGCCGCGUGAGUGAUGAAGGUCUUCGGAUCGUAAAACUCUGUUAUUAGGGAAGAACAAAUGUGUAAGUAACUAUGCACGUCUUGACGGUACCUAAUCAGAAAGCCACGGCUAACUACGUG
rnacentral:rRNA from 1 species